UCGUCUCUAGUGUAAAAAGCACGCGCUCCUUCCAAGUGUGAGGUCUUCUUAAUUGGAGGAGGCGAU